CCAGGAUGAAUGUGCGGUAACACGCACUGGAGGUCCGAACCGAUUAACGUUGAAAAGUUACCGGAUGAGUUGUGUUUAGGGGUGAAAGGCCAAUCAAGCCGGGAAAUAGCUGGUUCUCCGCGAAAACUAUUGAGGUAGUGCCUCGGACGAACGCCGAUGGGGGUAGAGCACUGGAUGAGUGAGGGGGUCGCGAGAUCUACCGAGCUUAACCAAACUCCGAAUACCAUCGAGCGAUAUCCGGGAGACAGACGGCGGGUGCUAAGGUCCGUCGUCGAGAGGGAAACAGCCCUGACCAACAGCUAAGGUCCCCAAGUCAUACCUAAGUGUGAAAGCAUGUGGGAGUUCCAAAACAACCAGGAGGU
rnacentral:rRNA from 1 species